rnacentral:lncRNA from 10 species
CUUGCUUGGGGGGAACCAGCUGCCAUGUUGUGAGAUGCUCAAGCAGCUGUAUGGAGGAGCCCAUGUGGAAAAAAACUGAGCACCCCUCACAACCGAUAUUCCCUUACCAGGAGUGUGGCAAGCCUCCCUGGAAGCAGACUCUUCAGCACCAGUCAAGCUUUCAGAUGCUGCAGCCGUGGGCAAUGACUUUGCUGCAAUCUUAUGAGAGACUAAGCCAGAACCACCCAGCUAAGUGGCUCCCACAUUCAUGACUCACGAAAACUGUGUCUUGGUUUUGAGCUAUAAAUUCUUGCUGCUAUCUUGGACUUUUCCUGAGAAUCUGAAUCCUUCAGCACAUCCUAUCACAUUCCACCAAUUCUUGACCUUCUGUUAUCCUCACCAGCCCCCCGGGCUUUGUUCAAAGUCCUGCAGGGAGGCUGCAGAGACAAUGGAAUGCACAGGCUGUGGUAGCUCAGCUGCGGGGACUGUCCAGGCGCCUAACUGGUUGUGUGAGGCUUUCAGAGAACGCUGCUCCUGUGCUGGGCUUCAGAGAGAGGGCUUGCUGCAGCACAGUGGGGUGGCCUCCUGCUGGUGGCCCAGGCCACAGGGAUAUGGAAACAUGUGUCUAGUCUUGAGGACACAUGGUGAAUAGAGGGCUUGCUGGCAAUUGGUUCACAAGCUGAGGAGGGCACAAAGGCCAGAUAUUUCAUCUGAAGAGUUCACAGGCUAUUAAAAACAUUAACAAGAUUUUACUGCCUCACCUAGGAUGGAAAUAAUUGCUUUAAAGUGAACUGGCAUUAAAGUGAACACGUCAAGACUACCUACUUGGAAGCUACAGGAGACAGAAACAGAAAACACGACUCCUGAAUCAUGUUCCAUUACUUUAAUCGCUAAACACUGCUCCGUUUAAGCUAAAGAGAUAUAAUGGUACAUUUGACAGAUGCCUUCACAUCAAGAUGAGAUAGGGCCCUGAAAGUCGCAUGUUGAACCUUUCUUACCUUCUACGAGGAUGUCACUCAAAAUCUUUUCUCAAUUCCUCUUCAUUGGCUGAUUACACAAUACAGAGUCAUUCCUAGUGCAGCCCAACCCUCUCCCCAGGUGAACCUUGCUUUACACAAAACACCUGUGUAUAAAUAACCUGGUAAUCAUUCAAGUUGUAUUCUAAAUGCACCACAGAGAUCUCACUUUUUAAGGAACACUGAAAUAAAUGCUUUAGUGAAGCAGAAUAGCCCUUUUGUAAUGUAAACAAUAUAAGCCUAGAUAAAGCUUCCAAUUUACCUAAGUUUAGAUUUUUGCAUAUUGGGUUUCAUUAAAGCAGCAUAUAUCUGUAAAAGAAAAUAUUGUAAGCCUCAGCCCUUUGUCAAUCAUAAUGGUUUUUAAAAAUCCCAUUAGUUUGAAUAAUUAAAUACCAAAAAAUACUUUCCGCCUGUAUUAAAAUUUCUGAUUUUAAUAGAAAAACCAACAGAAUGACUGUUUUUAAGCUUCUAGUUCAAUCUUAUUUUAAAAUGACAAACAGUAUAAUGACUAACAUCAUGCAGAAAGUACACUGCAGAGUGGGGUAGUAACUAACAAAAUAUGGCCAUGAUCUACCUUUAGGACUAUAGAGGACAAAUAAAACGGAAUAGAACCAGCUGGGCCCAGUGGCUCACGCCUGUAAUCCCAGCACUUUGGGAGGCUGAGGCGGAUGGAUCACCUGAGGUCAGGAGUUCAGGACCAGCCUGACCAACAUGGUGAAACCCCGUCUCUACUAAAAAUACAAAAAUUAGCCAGGUAUGGUGGCACGUGCCUGUAAUCCCAGCUACCUGGGAGGCUGAGGCAGGAGAAUUGCUGGAACCUGGGAGGUGGAGGCUGCAGUGAACCGAGAAAGCGCCAUUGCACUCCAGUCUGGGUGACAGAGCAAGACUCAGUCAAAAAAAAAAAAAAAAAAAAAAAAAAACAAGAAAAGAAAAAAGAAAAAAAAGGAAUAGAACCAGGUCUGAGUGCUAAAACCUUGGAGAAGGUAUAGUAGCAGCUAAACAGGCAAUGUGUUAUUGUUACAACUUGACAACUACGCAGGUCCACAAAGGAAUGGAAGCUGAGAAAUGUGGAGUAACAUGUUCAAUGUCACAUGGGUUCUAAGCAGAGAGGUCAGAAUUCAAACUCAGAUUUCUGCAUCUGAAAUAAGUGUUUUUAACCCCUCUGCCUACCAUUUGAUUGAAACUUAAAUUGUAGAUGUUUGAACAUUUUGAUUGACAAGGAUGGAUUUUCAAAUGGUUUGACCGAAAACCUCUCUCUACCACACAGAAAUCAAAGUGGGAAAAGGUAGCCAUGACCCACGGUGACCUGAGUCUGUUUUAUAGGACCAGAAAGAGCCCCAGGCUGUUUUUUCUCUUCUGCCCCACACGUUUCCAUGCUACACCCACCCACUUUUGGAUGUACUCUGCACAGUUGCCUUUUUAUUCAGGAAUCUUUAGAGGGCACCAUCUGUUCACCAGGCCCUGUGUGACGCGCUGGAGUUACCAACCUGAGUACAACUUAGUCCCUGACCUUGAGAAGUCCGCAUUAUUACCCUUCAGGGAACAAAGCAAGAGUAUAGAAAUUGCAUGAGCGGAAAAUCAUUUCAGGGAUGGAUCCAGCUGCUUUUGCACAUGUGAGAAUGGCCAUGCCAACUUAGGGUACCCCCUCAAAGAGGGGGUGAAGGAAGGGCACCUGAGCCCCACUGCCUGUCCCUCCCCAUCCUGUGUCCUCUCCAGGACAUGCUGAUUGCCACUGUCUCUUCACCCCGGCAGCUAAAGAAAGUUGCAUGGGACGUGGUGGGGAAGGAAAUCAAAAGUCUAGAACCCACACGGAAUGCUGGUCAUUCUUCAUCUCUCAUUUGUCGCUCUAACAACAUGUCAUUUCACGGCUCAAGUGAAGCCACGUUUCACUGUAGUUUAUUCUCUCAGAAGCUGAAGCCCCACGCUCUGGUUUCUAUCCCACGUACUGUAUUUAAUUUUAGCAAAAUCCUAGUAAAUAAAAUAAUUUGGAAAAAUAUGGAAG